GUGGCGAAAGGAGACUCUAUCUAUUGGCGGGUAAACGAAAAACUCGAGAGAAGAAAAUGGACGACGAGAGGAUUCGUGAGAGAGAGAGACUUCAGAUCGAGCAGAUUCGUGAGCUUGAUUUCGAGGAAUUACAAGUCGAAGAAGUCGAUGACCUUCACGAUUCCGAUUCCGAUGAUAAUGAUCAUCUCUCUUCAUUUCCCUUCUCUUCCCACGCUCAAGCUUCUGGUAACUUUGGUGAUGAUGAACUUAUUUUCAACCCAGCUUUGGCUUCUUUACAUAUGUAUCUUGGCGAGGUUGAGGACACUCAAAACAGAAUUGCUUUUGUGGAUGGAGGCACUGUUUUGAAGAUCCCGCUUUUCUAUCUUGAAGGAGUGGUUCUAUUUCCUGAGGCAACACUACCCCUUAGAAUCGUUCAGCCUAGUUUCUUGGCUGCUGUUGAGAGAGCUUUGAACCAAGCUAACGCUCCAUCUACGAUAGGUGUGAUUCGUGUUUACAGAGAAGGGGCUCAGUUUAAGUAUGCCAGUGUGGGGACAACCGCAGAGAUACGACAAUACCGUCGACUUGGUGAUGGUUCAUUCAAUGUUAUUACUCGUGGACAACAACGGUUCCGUUUAAAGCGUCGCUGGACUGAUGUUGAAGGAUUUCCUUGCGGAGAGGUUCAAAUUGUUGAUGAAGAUGUGCCCUUGAGGACUCCCAGGGACGCGUUUGGGAAACUGGUACCGAUAAGCAAGUUGCAAGCUCGCUACCCCUUGAGUACAGUGUCUUUAUCUACACCUCUUAGAGAUAUGGAAGCAAAUUCUGAAGAAAGUUUUGAAAGUGCUCUUUCUCCGUCAGAAAAAAGACUUCAUUAUUCAGUAGUUGACUCAAUAUUUUGUAACUCAACAAGUAGUGAUGAUGAUCAAGUAGUCGGCACCUCUACAGUCCAAUCUAGUGGGUCUAAUCCAUACAGCUCGAGGUCCAUUGGAUAUUUAGCUUCUAGCCAUGACGACGAAAAUGAAGAAGAGCAAUCGACAAUUGGCAAGACUCCUGUCUCACAAGAGAAAUAUCAGAAGCAAAAUAGGCUGGCAAGUUUCCGGGAAAGUACUGAUCUAAGCCGAUUCCGUAUGACCCCAAGAGCAUUUUGGCCAUUCUGGGCGUAUAGGAUGUACGACUCAUAUUAUCUUUCUCAAAGAGCAGCUGAUCUGUGGAAGCAAAUAGUUGGGGUUCCAAACAUGGAGGCUUUUGUGAAUAAACCAAAUAUUCUAUCCUUUUCCAUUGCUAGUAAAAUUCCCGUGUCUGAGUCAAUUAGACAAGAGCUCUUGGAGCUGGAUGGAGUCUCCUAUAGAUUGCAGCGAGAAAUUGAAUUGCUUGAAAGUUUUGACCGUGUUCGAUGUAUACAUUGUCAGACUGUCAUAGCAAGAAGAAAAGACAUGUUGGUUAUGUCUAAUGAAGGUCCUCUUGGUGCCUACGUAAACCCACAUGGCUAUGUGCACGAGAUAAUGACCUUUUACAAAGCAAAUGACAUAGCGCUUAGAGGUAGACCUGUUAAAAAGGACAGCUGGUUUCCUGGGUAUGCAUGGACAAUUGCAAACUGUGCGACGUGUGAAACCCAACUUGGUUGGCUUUUCACAGCAACAAAUAAGAAGUUGAAGCCAUCAUCUUUCUGGGCAGUUCGGGGCUCACAGGUCGCAGAUGACAUGCGCUGAAACAGCAGUAAAACCAGGUCUCACUUAUGGAUCAAUUUGCGCUUCAAUACCAAAUUACCAUAGAAAGUCAUUUGCAGCAUAACUUAGGUGAUGCUUUUAUUCAAAACGAAAUAGAGGUUAAGGAAUGGCUUUAAAACAUGUAUCACGAAGAGUUGGGCUAAGGAUGGAAUCAAAGUGUCAAUUGGGAUUGUCCCCUAAAUCGUGUAGAAUCCUGAUUUCUACUUUGCUUGUAUACGUUUUUUAUAAAUCAGUCGCCAUGUGGUUAUCAGAUUUGACAAUACAGAGAAUGUAUUGUGACAUUGAGGCUA